UUCAGCAGCCAUAUCACUCUGCAACACAUAACUGGCAACCCACUGAAGCUCAGCAGGUGUGAGCUUGGUCAGUACCUGGAUGGGGGCCUUCUGGGGAAAAACUAAGGUUGCUGCUGGAA
rnacentral:rRNA from 1 species